rnacentral:rRNA from 1 species
UACAGAGGUCCCAAGCGUUGUUCGGAUUCACUGGGCGUAAAGGGUGCGUAGGUGGCCAGGUAAGUUUGGUGUGAAAGCUCGGAGCUUAACUCCGAAAAGUCAUUGAAUACUAUCUGGCUGGAGGGUCGGAGGGGAGACUGGAAUUCUCGGUGUAGCAGUGAAAUGCGCAGAUAUCAGGAGGAACACCGGUGGCGAAGGCGGUUCUCUGGGCAUGUCCUGACGCUGAGGAGCGAAAGUGUGGGGAGCGAACAGG